UAGGGAAUCUUCCACAAUGGACGAAAGUCUGAUGGAGCAACGCCGCGUGAGUGAAGAAGGGUUUCGGCUCGUAAAACUCUGUUGUUAAAGAAGAACAUAUCUGAGAGUAACUGUUCAGGUAUUGACGGUAUCUUACCAGAAAGGAACGGCUAAAUACGUGUCAG
rnacentral:rRNA from 1 species